rnacentral:tRNA from 1 species
GCCUGGUUGGCUCAGUCAGUUGGGCAUCCGACUUCAGCUCAGGUCAUGAUCUCACGGUCUGUGGGUUCGAGCCCCGUGUCAGGCC